UAGGGAAUCUUGCGCAAUGGGCGAAAGCCUGACGCAGCAACGCCGCGUGGGGGAUGAAGGCUCUCGGGUUGUAAACCCCUUUCAGUAGGGACGAAAUCAGACGGUACCUACAGAAGAAGCCCCGGCCAACUACGUGCCAGCAGCCGCGGUAACACGUAGGGGGCAAGCGUUGUCCGGAUUUAUUGGGCGUAAAGAGCUCGUAGGCGGUUCGGUAAGUUAGGUGUGAAAACUCCAGGCUCAACCUGGAGACGCCACCUAAUACUGCUGUGACUAGAGUCCGGUAGGGGAGCGUGGAAUUCCUGGUGUAGCGGUGAAAUGCGCAGAUAUCAGGAGGAACACCAGCGGCGAAGGCGGCGCUCUGGGCCGGAACUGACGCUGAGGAGCGAAAGCGUGGGUAGCAAACA
rnacentral:rRNA from 1 species